GACGAACGCUGGCGGCGUGCUUAACACAUGCAAGUCGAACGGAAAGGCCCUGCUUUUGUGGGGUGCUCGAGUGGCGAACGGGUGAGUAACACGUGAGUAACCUGCCCUUGACUUUGGGAUAACUUCAGGAAACUGGGGCUAAUACCGGAUAGGAGCUCCUGCUGCAUGGUGGGGGUUGGAAAGUUUCGGCGGUUGGGGAUGGACUCGCGGCUUAUCAGCUUGUUGGUGGGGUAGUGGCUUACCAAGGCUUUGACGGGUAGCCGGCCUGGGAGGGUGACCGGCCACAAGGGGACUGCGAGACGGAGCAGACGCGUACGGGAGGCAGCAGUGGGGAGUAUGGCAGAGUGGGGGGAAGCCUGAUGCAGAAGCGCUGCGUGCGGGAUGACGGGCUUUGGGGUGUAAACAGAUGUGGCCUGAGACGAAGCGGGAGUGACGGUAAUGGGUAAAAAAGCAACGGCUAACUACGUG
rnacentral:rRNA from 1 species